CAGUCGCCGCGGGAAUACAGAGGGUGCGAGCGUUAAUAGGAUUUACUGGGCGUAAAGCGUGCGUAGGCGGCUUCUUAAGUCGGAUGUGAAAUCCCUGAGCUUAACUUAGGAAUUGCAUUCGAUACUGGGAAGCUAGAGUAUGGGAGAGGAUGGUAGAAUUCCAGGUGUAGCGGUGAAAUGCGUAGAGAUCUGGAGGAAUACCGAUGGCGAAGGCAGCCAUCUGGCCUAAUACUGACGCUGAGGUACGAAAGCAUGGGGAGCAAACAGGAUUAGAGACCCCCGUAGUCCCUGUCUCUUAUAA
rnacentral:rRNA from 1 species